rnacentral:rRNA from 1 species
UACGUAGGGUGCGAGCGUUGUCCGGAAUUAUUGGGCGUAAAGGGCUCGUAGGCGGUUUGUCGCGACGGGAGUGAAAUCCACUGGCUUAACUGGUGGCUUGCUUUCGAUACGGGCAGACUGGAGGUAUGCAGGGGAGAACGGAAUUCCUGGUGUAGCGGUGAAAUGCGCAGAUAUCAGGAGGAACACCGGUGGCGAAGGCGGGUCUCUGGGCCGAUACUGACGCUGAGGAGCGAAAGCGUGGGGAGCGAACAGG